rnacentral:misc_RNA from 1 species
UUUCCGUAGGUGAACCUGCGGAAGGAUCAUUACAUUCAGUAGCCUAGCUACUUGUUUACACCCUUGUUUUUGCGUACCUAUUGUUUCCUCGGCGGGCUUGCUCGCCGGUUGGACAAAACUAUAACCUUUUUGUAAUAGCAGUUAGCGUCUGAAAACUAAGUUAAUUAUUAAAACUUUCAACAAUGGAUCUCUUGGUUCUGGCAUCGAUGAAGAACGCAGC